UACGUAGGGUGCAAGCGUUGUCCGGAAUUAUUGGGCGUAAAGAGCUCGUAGGCGGUUUGUCGCGUCUGGUGUGAAAAUCCAGGGCUUAACCCUGGACCUGCAUCGGGUACGGGCAGACUAGAGUGCGGUAGGGGAGAUCGGAAUUCCUGGUGUAGCGGUGAAAUGCGCAGAUAUCAGGAGGAACACCAGCGGCGAAGGCGGCGCUCUGGGCCGGAACUGACGCUGAGGAGCGAAAGCGUGGGUAGCAAACAGG
rnacentral:rRNA from 1 species